UUGGUUUCUAAAAAUAUCAUGGUAGUUGUAAUUUUAGAUUACUGCUGAUUUGACUAAAUAUGUUUUGAUUGUUUUUAAGCUUUGACUCUUUACUGUGUGCACAACUAAUUCAUUCCUAAUUAAAUCUUUCAAUGGUUGAUGGGAACACAACAGAUCUUGCUUCUCUGCUUUUUAAUGUUUCAUAUGUUUUCAUGUACAAACCGAGGCAUGCGGAUGCGGGCGUGAUGGCGGGCAUCUCCGGCAGCGGCGGCGACCUGCAGGCAAGAGGCAACGACUGGGGUGUUCGAUUUGAUCCAGCGCCAUGGCCCGGUCCCUGCAGGAGAGAGAGAUGAGGGACAGAGAGAGAAGGAAGGAGAGGAGGGAGAAAGAGAGAGGGAGGUAAGAUGCCGGAUGUUACUAUAGUAUUAGAAGAAUUCCUGAUAUAUUUAUUUAUAGGAUUCUAUGAUAUUUGAUGCAAAAUAUUGAUGGCCAGGUGAAUGCACUGGACUCUUCAAGAUCGAGGGCACCAUUGGAAAGGCCGAGUAUGUCCAUCAACAGCCUGCCCAGUGUCCGGAUUCACCAAACAGUACAACCGGAGACGCUGUCGGCUGCCUGCAGGCACCAAGCCGUCCACUGUUUUCUCUGCCCGAAGAAGGAUUAUGGUUCUCCACCUCUUUGCUACUCAUAUUAAAAUUCUGGAUUAAUUUUGUUUGUACUUUAACCAGUUCAAGGAUUGGUGGUCGAGCACUAUGAUCUUUGCACACUAAGCUAUUCCGGAGAAGUUUAGAGCUUCUGCAACCUUUUGAAGACACGAUUUAUAGUUGCAGAGAUGAAACAAUCAAUCAGUUGCGAUGCAUUACAUAAUCUUUUUGCUCUGGACAUUGAUGGGUAUUGCAGACUCCUUUAUUUUGCCACAAAGGACAGGAGCUGUGCCAUUUGACUCGAAGAACAAAGCGUUCAUCACAAGGGGGUGGUCUUUAGGAUGUACACAAAAGAGGAAAUUUCAUUUUGUAUAGAACCAAAUUAUAUGAUGUAAUUGACCAUUCUCUUGUACACAAUGUUUAUCAUGUAUUAAGUACAUUUUAUUGUCAAAUAUGUUUACUUUUU